rnacentral:rRNA from 1 species
GACGAACGCUGGCGGCGUGCUUAACACAUGCAAGUCGUACGGUAAGGCCCUUUCGGGGGUCCCCGAGUGGCGAACGGGUGAGUAACACGUGAGUAACCUGCCCACAACUUUGGGAUAACGCUAGGAAACUGGUGCUAAUACUGGAUAUGUGCUCCUGCUGCAUGGUGGGGGUUGGAAAGCUCCGGCGGUUGUGGAUGGACUCGCGGCCUAUCAGCUUGUUGGUGGGGUAGUGGCCUACCAAGGCGGCGACGGGUAGCCGGCCUGAGAGGGUGACCGGCCACAUUGGGACUGAGAGACGGCACAGACUCCUAAGGGAGGCAGCAGUGGGGAAUAUUGCACAAUGGGCGCAAGCCUGAUGCAGCAACGCCGCGUGCGGGAUGACGGCCUUCGGGUUGUAAACCGCUUGCAGCAGGGACGAAGCUUUUUGUGACGGUACCUGAAGAAGAAGCACCGGCUAACUACGUG